AUGGCUCUCACCUCGAUCUAUAAAUAGAGGUAACCAAGGGACCUCCACAGUAUGAAACUCUCUCUCUCUCUCGUGUGCUUCUUCCUUUUUAUUCUACUGAUUCCUAACUUGAGUGUCGAAGGAUCUCCACUAGAGCCAACUUCGAUUAGAGACUUGUUUUGCAGGUCCGAUCAUCAUCACCUAGUCGGUCACUUCCUCACUCCAACCAAUCUGGCUCAAGUUGAAGAUCUAUAGCAAUAGAAUGGUGCUAGAGGAAGGAUUGCAAGUCUAUUUUUUGGGAAAGAGUACAUGAUCCAUUGCCAUGCCACUGUGCAUAACAUCCUUGAGACAUUCCAACACUACAGUAGGUUGGCCAAAUGAAAUUCUGAUCAGAAAUCAUGCUUCGGCUCAACAGCUAGAGUUACCUCUGCAACCCCCUCCAUCGGUUAUUGGGGUAAACCA
rnacentral:lncRNA from 1 species